rnacentral:rRNA from 1 species
GUGCCAGCAGCCGCGGUAAUACGUAGGGGGCAAGCGUUGUCCGGAAUUAUUGGGCGUAAAGCGCGUGUAGGCGGUCCGGUAAGUCGGUUGUGAAAGUCCAGGGCUCAACCCUGGGAUGCCGAUCGAUACUGCCGGACUAGAGUCCGGAAGAGGCGAGUGGAAUUCCCGGUGUAGCGGUGAAAUGCGCAGAUAUCGGGAGGAACACCAAUGGCGAAGGCAGCUCGCUGGGACGGUACUGACGCUGAGACGCGAAAGCGUGGGGAGCAAACAGGAUUAGAUACCCGCGUAGUCC